GACGGACGCUGGCGGCGUGCUUAACACAUGCAAGUCGAACGGUAAGGCCCUUCGGGGUACACGAGUGGCGAACGGGUGAGUAACACGUGGGUGAUCUGCCCUGCACUUCGGGAUAAGCCUGGGAAACUGGGUCUAAUACCGGAUAGGACUCCGUACUGCAUGGUCUGGGGUGGAAAGCUUUUGCGGUGUGGGAUGGGCCCGCGGCCUAUCAGGUUGUUGGUGGGGUGAUGGCCUACCAAGGCGACGACGGGUAGCCGGCCUGAGAGGGUGGCCGGCCACACUGGGACUGAGAUACGGCCCAGACUCCUACGGGAGGCAGCAGUGGGGAAUAUUGCACAAUGGGCGCAAGCCUGAUGCAGCGACGCCGCGUGAGGGAUGACGGCCUUCGGGUUGUAAACCUCUUUCAGCACAGACGAAGCGCAAGUGACGGUAUGUGCAGAAGAAGGACCGGCCAACUACGUGCCAGCCGCCGCUGUAA
rnacentral:rRNA from 1 species